rnacentral:rRNA from 1 species
UGCAACUCGACUCCAUGAAGCUGGAUUCGCUAGUAAUCGCGCAUCAGCCAUGGCGCGGUGAAUACGUUCCCGGGCCUUGUACACACCGCCCGUCAAGCCAUGGGAGUCGGGAGUGCCUGAAGUUCGUGACCGUCACAGGAGCGACCUAAGGCAAGACCGAUGACUGGGGCUAAGUCGUAACAAGGUAAC